rnacentral:rRNA from 1 species
GCUCAGGGUUAGUCGGGACCUAAGCCGAGGCCGAAAGGCGUAGGCGAUGGAUAACAGGUUGAUAUUCCUGUACCACCUCCUCACCAUUUGAGCAAUGGGGGGACGCAGGAGGAUAGGGUAAGCGCGGUAUUGGAUAUCCGCGUCCAAGCAGUUAGGCUGGGAAAUAGGCAAAUCCGUUUCCCGUGAAGGCUGAGCUGUGAUGGCGAGCGAAUUAUAGUAGCGAAGUUCCUGAUUCCACACUGCCAAGAAAAGCCUCUAGCGAGGUGAGAGGUGCCCGUACCGCAAACCGACACAGGUAGGCGAGGAGAGAAUCCUAAGGUGAUCGAGAGAACUCUCGUUAAGGAACUCGGCAAAAUGACCCCGUAACUUCGGGAGAAGGGGUGCUCUGUUAGGGUGCAAGCCCGAGAGAGCCGCAGUGAAUAGGCCCAGGCGACUGUUUAGCAAAAACACAGGUCUCUGCGAAGCCGUAAGGCGAAGUAUAGGGGCUGACGCCUGCCCGGUGCUGGAA